rnacentral:lncRNA from 1 species
UAAUAUACACUUCAAAUUACAUCCUGAGAAAUUGCACCAUUUGUUGUUGAGGGAUACAUGACACAUAACUUACCUUCUCAAUCAAACAAACGAACACACACCACAAUACUUCAUUUAUUUAAGGUGUGAUUUGUAGAAGGCCGAGGCCCUAAACAAUCAAAGUAAAGUGCGCUUUCAAGUAGUGUCAAAGGAUGUUCAUUCCGUAUCUUCUAUAUAUGUUUCUGAUGUACUUAUUUGAUUAAUAAAAGAGAGUAAUUUUGUCCAAAAAACAAAUAGGAAACAAACAUGAGCCUUAAAUAUUAGAAACCAUAAAUUAUAACAUCAACAGGUUAAUAACUUGCAUGAUGUCACAUAAUUUCGGCCACAAAUUAAACUCAGCAUACACUGUAGAGCUUCACUUUCUUACUGUUACUAGUAUCAGGCUGAAUGAUUGCCAAGAAACUUGGCAUAAUUUGCCCUGUUAGUGGAGUCUAUGGGCCACGGAGCCCCAGCCAUGACUGCUUCAAUUUCCCACGUCUCCCUUGGACAGUUGGAUAGAUUCUUGCAACCAUUGGAUGUUACAUACUGAAAAGAAACAGAAACAAAUUCUCUCAGAGAAGAGCAGCAGCAGCUGCAGUAGCAGCAGUAGCGGUAGC